GACCGGCGCACGGGUGCGUAACGCGUAUGCAAUCUACCUUUUACAGAGGGAUAGCCCAGAGAAAUUUGGAUUAAUACCUCAUAGUAUAACGACCUGGCAUCAGGAUGUUAUUAAAGUCACAACGGUAAAAGAUGAGCAUGCGUCCCAUUAGCUUGUUGGUAAGGUAACGGCUUACCAAGGCUACGAUGGGUAGGGGUCCUGAGAGGGAGAUCCCCCACACUGGUACUGAGACACGGACCAGACUCCUACGGGAGGCAGCAGUGAGGAAUAUUGGACAAUGGGCGCAAGCCUGAUCCAGCCAUGCCGCGUGCAGGAUGACGGUCCUAUGGAUUGUAAACUGCUUUUAUACGAGAAGAAACACUCCUUCGUGAAGGAGCUUGACGGUAUCGUAAGAAUAAGGAUCGGCUAACUCCGUGCCAGCAGCCGCGGUAAUACGGAGGAUCCAAGCGUUAUCCGGAAUCAUUGGGUUUAAAGGGUCCGUAGGCGGUUUAGUAAGUCAGUGGUGAAAGCCCAUCGCUCAACGGUGGAACGGCCAUUGAUACUGCUAAACUUGAAUUAUUAGGAAGUAACUAGAAUAUGUAGUGUAGCGGUGAAAUGCUUAGAGAUUACCAUGGAAUACCAAUUGCGAAGGCAGGUUACUACUAAUGGAUUGACGCUGAUGGACGAAAGCGUGGGUAGCGAACAGGAUUAGAUACCCUGGUAGUCCACGCCGUAAACGAUGGAUACUAGCUGUUGGGUGCAAACUCAGUGGCUAAGCGAAAGUGAUAAGUAUCCCACCUGGGGAGUACGUUCGCAAGAAUGAAACUCAAAGGAAUUGACGGGGGCCCGCACAAGCGGUGGAGCCAUGUGGUUUAAUUCGAUGAUACGCGAGGAACCUUACCAAGGCUUAAAUGUAGAUUGACCGGUUUGGAAACAGAUCUUUCGCAAGACAAUUUACAAGGUGCUGCAUGGUUGUCGUCAGCUCGUGCCGUGAGGUGUCAGGUUAAGUCCUAUAACGAGCGCAACCCCUGUUGUUAGUUGCCAGCGAGUCAUGUCGGGAACUCUAACAAGACUGCCAGUGCAAACUGUGAGGAAGGUGGGGAUGACGUCAAAUCAUCACGGCCCUUACGCCUUGGGCUACACACGUGCUACAAUGGCCGGUACAGAGAGCAGCCACUGGGCGACCAGGAGCGAAUCUAUAAAACCGGUCACAGUUCGGAUCGGAGUCUGCAACUCGACUCCGUGAAGCUGGAAUCGCUAGUAAUCGGAUAUCAGCCAUGAUCCGGUGAAUACGUUCCCGGGCCUUGUACACACCGCCCGUCAAGCCAUGGAAGCUGGGGGUGCCUGAAGUCGGUGACCGCAAGGAGCUGCCUAGGGUAAAACUGGUAACUAGGGCUAA
rnacentral:rRNA from 1 species